rnacentral:rRNA from 1 species
UACGUAUGGGGCAAGCGUUAUCCGGAUUUACUGGGCGUAAAGGGAGCGCAGGCGGCGCGCCAAGUCUGAUGUGAAACCCCGGGGCUCAACCCCGGGCAUGCAUUGGAAACUGGCGGGCUGGAGUGCCGGAGAGGUAAGCGGAAUUCCUAGUGUAGCGGUGAAAUGCGUAGAUAUUAGGAGGAACACCAGUGGCGAAGGCGGCUUACUGGACGGCAACUGACGCUGAGGCUCGAAAGCGUGGGGAGCAAACAGG